UUCUUAGCUUCGGGGUUGUGCAAAG
rnacentral:piRNA from 1 species